rnacentral:rRNA from 1 species
UCGUGGAGGACCGAACUCACUAAUAGUUGAAAAUUAGGGAUGAGUUGUGGAUGGGAGCGAAAGACUAAUCAAACCUGGAGAUAGCUGGUUCUCCCCGAAAUAUAUUGAGGUAUAGCCUCGCGAGGUUCGCACCGGAGGUAGAGCACUGGAUGGGCUAGGGGUCCCACAGGAUUACCAAACCCAACCAAACUCCGAAUGCUGGUGACGAUAUCGCGGGAGUCAGACUGUGGGAGAUAAGUUCCAUGGUCGAGAGGGAAAGAGCCCAGAUUACCAGCUAAGGUCCCAAAGUGUAUGCUAAGUGGUAAACGAUGUGGGGACACAUAGACAACCAGGAGGUUGGCUUAGAAGCAGCCAUCCUUUAAAGAAAGCGUAAUAGCUCACUGGUCAAGUGGCCCUGCGCGGAAAAUAUAACGGGGCUAAAGCAUACCACCGAAGCUGUAACAUCCUACGGGAUGGGUAGGGGAGCGUUCCUGCGCCGCAGAAGGGUACUCGGAAGAGUAUUUGGAGGUUCAGGAAGUGAGAAUGCC